GACGAACGCUGGCGGCGUGCUUAACACAUGCAAGUCGAACGGUAAGGCUCAGCUUGCUGGGGUACACGAGUGGCGAACGGGUGAGUAACACGUGGGUGACCUGCCCUGCACUUCGGGAUAAGCCUGGGAAACUGGGUCUAAUACCGGAUAGGACCGCACCGUGAGGGUGUGGUGGAAAGUUUUUUCGGUGUGGGAUGGGCCCGCGGCCUAUCAGCUUGUUGGUGGGGUAAUGGCCUACCAAGGCGGCGACGGGUAGCCGGCCUGAGAGGGUGGACGGCCACAUUGGGACUGAGACACGGCCCAGACUCCUACGGGAGGCAGCAGUGGGGAAUAUUGCACAAUGGGCGGAAGCCUGAUGCAGCGACGCCGCGUGGGGGAUGACGGCCUUCGGGUUGUAAACUCCUUUCACCAUCGACGAAGGGUUUCUGACGGUAGAUGGAGAAGAAGCACCGGCUAACUACGUGCCAGCAGCCGCGGUAAUACGUAGGGUGCGAGCGUUGUCCGGAAUUACUGGGCGUAAAGAGCUCGUAGGUGGUUUGUCGCGUCGUCUGUGAAAUUCCGGGGCUUAACUCCGGGCGUGCAGGCGAUACGGGCAUAACUUGAGUACUGUAGGGGAGACUGGAAUUCCUGGUGUAGCGGUGAAAUGCGCAGAUAUCAGGAGGAACACCGGUGGCGAAGGCGGGUCUCUGGGCAGUAACUGACGCUGAGGAGCGAAAGCAUGGGGAGCGAACAGGAUUAGAUACCCUGGUAGUCCAUGCCGUAAACGGUGGGCGCUAGGUGUGGGUUUCCUUCCACGGGAUCCGUGCCGUAGCUAACGCAUUAAGCGCCCCGCCUGGGGAGUACGGCCGCAAGGCUAAAACUCAAAGGAAUUGACGGGGGCCCGCACAAGCGGCGGAGCAUGUGGAUUAAUUCGAUGCAACGCGAAGAACCUUACCUGGGCUUGACAUAUACAGGAUCGCGCCAGAGAUGGUGUUUCCCUUGUGGCUUGUAUACAGGUGGUGCAUGGUUGUCGUCAGCUCGUGUCGUGAGAUGUUGGGUUAAGUCCCGCAACGAGCGCAACCCUUGUCUUAUGUUGCCAGCACGUUGUGGUGGGGACUCGUAAGAAACUGCCGGGGUUAACUCGGAGGAAGGUGGGGAUGACGUCAAAUCAUCAUGCCCCUUAUGUCCAGGGCUUCACACAUGCUACAAUGGUCGGUACAGUGGGUUGCCAGUCCGUGAGGGCGAGCUAAUCCCGCAAAGCCGGUCUCAGUUCGGAUCGGGGUCUGCAACUCGACCCCGUGAAGUCGGAGUCGCUAGUAAUCGCAGAUCAGCAACGCUGCGGUGAAUACGUUCCCGGGCCU
rnacentral:rRNA from 1 species